AAUUCUUUAGGAAAAAAAUUAUAGUUUCCUUUGUUCAAUUUCUCCUCUUCUCUCCUUUGUACCUUCGUUCAAUCCCAAGGACCUUCUUCGAACCGUUCUCACUCACCCAUAAACUCAUUAAAACCCUAAACCCCAUUAAAUCUCAAUCGAUUGAACCCAAAAUCCCAUUUAAACCCUAAAUUAAAAAUCAAUCGAACCUAGAGAACUCGCUAAAACCGUAAAAUUAUCUUUCCCCAUCGUUCAUCAUUGUCCAUCGUUUCAAACUCGUUUGCCCAGAAAUUCAUGGUUCCGCCAUCGUUCAUCGCAGUUGAACCUCCAUCUUGUCAUAAGUGGUUAGGUUAGUCAGUCUUACUCAAUCAACAACACUUUUUUUUGUUAUUUUUAUUUCUAUCAGAUUGAUUAAAAUUGUCUGAUUUUGGGAUUAUGCUGUUUUCUUUUCCACAGGUUAUGCACAAAUUCAAUUCUACUAAUUUUUGUUGCACAAACUAAAGUAUACGUAUGUUCUUAAAGUUUUAUGGUAAUUUAUGUUUUUUUUUUCUUUCCAAAUUCAGGAUGCUGAAGGAAAUGAAAUAUCACGUUCAGGUU
rnacentral:lncRNA from 1 species